rnacentral:rRNA from 1 species
UGGGGAAUAUUGCACAAUGGGCGCAAGCCUGAUGCAGCAACGCCGCGUGAACGAUGAAGGUCUUCGGAUCGUAAAGUUCUGUUGCAGGGGAAGAUAAUGACGGUACCCUGUGAGGAAGCCCCGGCUAACUACGUGCCAGCAGCCGCGGUAAUACGUAGGGGGCUAGCGUUAUCCGGAUUUACUGGGCGUAAAGGGUGCGUAGGUGGUCUUUUAAGUCGGUGGUUAAAGGCUACGGCUCAACCGUAGUUAGCCUCCGAAACUGGAAGACUUGAGUGCAGGAGAGGAAAGUGGAAUUCCCAGUGUAGCGGUGAAAUGCGUAGAUAUUGGGAGGAACACCAGUAGCGAAGGCGGCUUUCUGGACUGCAACUGACACUGAGGCACGAAAGCGUGGGUAGCAAACAGG